rnacentral:rRNA from 1 species
UACGUAGGGGGCAAGCGUUGUCCGGAUUUAUUGGGCGUAAAGAGCGUGUAGGCGGUUUGGUAGGUCCGCUGUGAAAACUCGAGGCUCAACCUCGAGACGCCGGUGGAAACCAUCAGACUAGAGUCCGGAAGAGGCGAGUGGAACUCCUGGUGUAGCGGUGGAAUGCGCAGAUAUCAGGAAGAACACCAACGGCGAAGGCAGCUCGCUGGGACGGUACUGACGCUGAGACGCGAAAGCGUGGGGAGCGAACAGG